AAGCUUCCUGUGUAUAACCUCCCAUGAAUCACAGCAAGUGUCGGAAACAAAAGAAACAACCAUGGCCGUCUGCUGGGCAUAUAGAUGGGGAAUAUUGCCGGCCGCGAAUCAAGUAUGAGGCAUCCUCAACAGCAUGCUGGACAAAGUGAAGCUGACACAGAACCUCCUGGAUGAUCUUCUGCAGCUCUUUGUUCUCUCUCUCCAGCUGGCGGGAUUUCUCUUCAUCGUUGUUGUUUGUGGAUGAGCCGGUCUUCAUGGUCUCCUGCUGGUCUGACUGCCACUCACCACGAGUGAUAAGCCUCCGCAUCUGCAUCAAGCACACACACACAACACACUAGAUGUGUAAUAACACCGGUCUCCACUGAUGACACUGAUUACACCACAUCUCCAUAACAUCGUCACUCAGCGCGCUUUAAGAUUUCACGAACAGACCGCUGAGAGACAUGCAUAUGUCACACAUUUAACCCUACUCUAGUUAUCCAUCAUUAAUAUUCAUCACUGUAAUACAAUAUUUACAUUGCUUCUCUUUCUUGUUUUGAGAAAAUGAUCUACUGUUGUACCUUAGGG